rnacentral:rRNA from 1 species
CCUACGGGGGGCUGCAGUAGGGAAUUUUGCGCAAUGGACGGAAGUCUGACGCAGCAACGCCGCGUGAAGGAUGAAGGCCUUCGGGUUGUAAACUUCUGUUGGAUGGGAAAAAAAGCCUUUUAAGAGGAAUUGAUGGUACCAUUCGAGUAAGCACCGGCUAACUACGUGCCAGCAGCCGCGGUAAUACGUAGGGUGCGAGCGUUGUUCGGAAUCACUGGGCGUAAAGGGAGCGUAGGCGGAACUGUAAGUUAGAAGUUUAAUACAUGGGCUCAACCCGUGGUCUGCUUUUAAUACUGCGGUUCUUGAGUAUGGGAGAGGGCGAUGGAAUUCCAGGUGUAGCGGUGGAAUGCGUAGAUAUCUGGAAGAACACCAGUAGCGAAGGCGGUCGCCUGGCCCAAUACUGACGCUGAGGCUCGAAAGCUGGGGGAGCAAACAGGAUUAGAUACCCCGGUAGUC